rnacentral:lncRNA from 1 species
CUUGCUGGUCCGCGCGCGCGCAAACACCCACGUCACACAAACAAUCACAAACACGUGGGUUUUAUUAUCCUGAAAUUAACUCCACGAAUAUAACUCUUUCUGAUGAACUUUGUGUGGUAUUUCACAGCAUUAUCAUGAUAUAUUGACCGAAGUAGGUGAAAUAGGCCUAGAUACACUACAAAUGUUCAGAAAGCAUUGCUUGGCUUGCUCAACAGAAAUUGAACUAUUUUUAGACAGAAUAUACCCAGAGAGUAAAGCUGGAAGGACCAAGUGGACUAGCAUUUUCCAAGGUCCAGGACUCCAGCACUUAAUCUAUUGCUUGGCGAAUGAAAACCGCCUGUGGACGACAUGUUGGCUGAGAGGAACAAUGAACAAUACGUGGAUAAUCAAAGCACCACUUUGA